rfam:Solanum tuberosum cultivar DM 1-3 516 R44 scf00366_33, whole genome shotgun sequence.
GAUUGAUGAUGAGGGCAACUCAUCAACCUCGAUUUGAACCUCUCCCAAGCUUGAUACAAGUUCUCACCACCCUUCUGCCUAAAACUCAAAAUAUCACUCCUCAACUU